AAUCGUCAUUGUGCAAUGUCUAUAUGUCAGUAGAUGGUUGUAGUCAAUAAAGUCUUAGUUCCGGAGUUCCACGUUGUGGCGAGUGGGGCGGGGCUGAGAGCCGUGGGAACAGAGCGAGGCCGGUGGAGUUAAUGAUAAUGAGCGACACCUGCGCCACUCACCGGUCUCGAGUCCCACGGAGGAGCUCCGGAAGGAUAAAAGGAGGAGUGACGACAGUGGAAGACGAGAGAGGACCAGGCCUGGACUUUUAUUUUGUAUUUUAUGUGCGGCAGUCGUCCGUGAGGGGCUGCCGCUUUACUUUGAUGUUUGUUUAUUUUAUUAAAAACUGUUCGCCGGUUCCCGCCUCCUUCCUUCCAUUCCACGAACCGUACUACACACGUCUCCUCGUUUCCCUGGCUCCGAUGAUACGUGACAUUUGCAGUACGUUGAGCUCUCUCAGCCACCGUACCAAACAGCUCAUAAAAACAUCACAAUAAACCACAGUUUAUCAAUUAAUAUUUUGUGAGGUGAAAAUGUUUGUGACAUUUAAAACUUUAAACUGUUGCUUCCAGCUAAAAUAUGAGACUUCUUUCCACAAUAUUUUUUUUUUCAGUGAAAAGGUCAUCUUAUCUGAAUCAGGAGAGAAAUAUGCCCAGAUCAAGCACUGUUUAUAAGUGCAAACAGCCCAAUACAGUCCUAAAUAUGUCAGUGGAUUUUGAUGUGGGAAGAAAACAGGGGAUGGACUUUUUCACUGGAGGAAGCAUUAUUAUAGAUUAUGAACUCAUAUUUUGGCCAAAAGCAAUUGUUUAAAAUUAAAAUGUCUGAAUGAUUUGUUUCUUACAAACACACAGAUUUUUUUCUUCACAAGAUGUUAAUUGAUGGACUGGAUUACUGUGAUGUUUUUAUCAGGAUUUUGGUCGCUGAUUCUGACGGCACCCAUUCACUGCAGAGGAUCCAAUGGUGAACAAGUGAUGUAAUGUUAAAUUUCUCCAAAUCUGUUCUGAUAAAGAAAGAAAAUACUCUACAUCUUGGAUGACCAGAGGAACCGUGAGUGAUAGAAGGAAAAGGGGAAUGAAUUUGGCAAGGAUUGUUCUGAGAUAAGAAUACGAAAGAGUCAAAUUAAGAAGAGGCAAAAUUACAUAAGGAGAAAGGUGGGAAAAUACUUAGAGGUGAUUUUCAACUAGACAGUUUGAGUCCAAGAGAGGAGAAUGAUGGGAACUGACCCAUCACCAUCACCUGCCCACUUGCCACAGAUUCCCGGUAAGAGGAUCUGGCAACCACACGCACAUCAUCAGACACCUGCGCUCACACUUUUACACUCAUGCUCACAUUUGGCCUCGCGCUUAUUCUCAUGC